rnacentral:rRNA from 1 species
UACGUAGGGUGCAAGCGUUAAUCGGAAUUACUGGGCGUAAAGCGUGCGCAGGCGGUUAUGUAAGACAGGUGUGAAAUCCCCGGGCUUAACCUGGGAACUGCAUUUGUGACUGCAUAGCUAGAGUACGGUAGAGGGGGAUGGGAAUUCCGCGUGUAGCAGUGAAAUGCGUAGAUAUGCGGAGGAACACCGAUGGCGAAGGCAAUCCCCUGGACCUGUACUGACG